GGUGCAAAUGAUGUUUUUUAGCGAUCAAAUCAUGAAAAUUUGUGAUUAUUGAAACUUCAUACUGAUGCACC